AAACUUACCUGGCAGGGGAGAUACCAUGAUCAUGAAGGUGGUUUUCCCAGGGUGAGGCUUAUGCAUUGCACUCUGGAUGUGCUGACCUCCUGUAAUUUCCCCAAAUGUGGGAAACUCAACUGCAUAAUUUGUGGUAAUGGGGGAACUGCAUUUGUGCUUCCUGCUG
rnacentral:snRNA from 1 species